AUUGAACGCUGGCGGCAUGCCUUACACAUGCAAGUCGAACGGUAUCAGGUCUUCGGAUGCUGACGAGUGGCGAACGGGUGAGUAAUACAUCGGAACGUGCCCAGACGUGGGGGAUAACGAGGCGAAAGCUUUGCUAAUACCGCAUACGAUCUAAGGAUGAAAGCAGGGGACCGCAAGGCCUUGCGCGUUUGGAGCGGCCGAUGGCAGAUUAGGUAGUUGGUGGGAUAAAAGCUUACCAAGCCGACGAUCUGUAGCUGGUCUGAGAGGACGACCAGCCACACUGGGACUGAGACACGGCCCAGACUCCUACGGGAGGCAGCAGUGGGGAAUUUUGGACAAUGGGCGAAAGCCUGAUCCAGCAAUGCCGCGUGCAGGAUGAAGGCCUUCGGGUUGUAAACUGCUUUUGUACGGAACGAAAAGGCUCUGGCUAAUACCUGGGGCACAUGACGGUACCGUAAGAAUAAGCACCGGCUAACUACGUG
rnacentral:rRNA from 1 species